rnacentral:rRNA from 1 species
CCUACGGGAGGCAGCAGUGGGGAAUAUUGGUCAAUGGGCGCGAGCCUGAACCAGCCAAGUCGCGUGCAGGAUGACUGCCCUCCGGGUUGUAAACUUCUUUUAUAAAGGAAUAAAGUGAGGCACGUGUUCCUUUUUUUAUGUACUUUAUGAAUAAGGAUCGGCUAACUCCGUGCCGGCAGCCGCGGUAAUACGGAGGAUCCGAGCGUUAUCCGGAUUUAUGGGGUUUAAAGUGAGCGUAGAUGGGUUGUUAAGUCAGUUGUGAAAGUUUGCGGCUCAACCGUAAAAUUGCAAUUGAUACUGGCAGUCUUGAGUACAGUUGAGGUAGGCGGAAUUCGUGGUGUAGCGGUGAAAUGCUUAGAUAUCAAGAAGAACUCCGAUUGCGAAGGCAGCUUACUAAACUGAGACUGACAUUGAUGCUCGAAAGUGUGGGUAUCAAACAGGAUUAGAUACCCCAGUAGUC